rfam:Bacillus licheniformis ATCC 14580, complete genome.
GAAGUCCACUAGGGGAGCCGUAAGCCGGCUGAGACAAGAAGCGAUCUUGGACCCUUUGAACCUGAUCUAGUUCAUACUAGCGUAGGGAAGUGGAGCCGGUGUCUU